GACGAACGCUGGCGGCGUGCCUAAUACAUGCAAGUUGAGCGCUGAAGGUUGGUACUUGUACCAACUGGAUGAGCAGCGCACGGGUGAGUAACGCGUGGGGAAUCUGCCUUUGAGCGGGGGACAACAUCUGGAAACGAAUGCUAAUACCGCAUAAAAACUUUAAACACAAGUUUUAAGUUUGAAAGAUGCAAUUGCAUCACUCAAAGAUGAUCCCGCGUUGUAUUAGCUAGUUGGUGAGGUAAAGGCUCACCAAGGCGAUGAUACAUAGCCGACCUGAGAGGGUGAUCGGCCUCAAUGGGACUGUGACACGGCCCAAGCUUCUCCGGGAGGCCACAGUAACGGAUCUUCGGCCAUGGGCGAAAGUCUGAACGAGGGAAGCCGCCUGGGUGAAGAAGGUUCUCGGGUCGUCAAACUCUGUUGGUAGAGGAGAACGUUGGUGAGAGUGAACAGCUCAUAAAGUGACGGUACCUACCCAGAAAGGGACGGCUAACUACGUG
rnacentral:rRNA from 1 species